CAUCCUCUUACUCCAUCUUUAGAAAAUUUGAGCGCUAAAAACACAAAACUUAUGCGGCUAUGCCUUCGCUCUUUUCCUUCACACUUUCACACGUCUUCAUAUCACAAACCCUAAUGAUGAUGUCUCCCUCUCAAGCAUCCAUGGCCGCCUUCGUAUCUACCGCAUCUGUGGCCAUCUUCUUUGUACCUGCGACCACCACAAGACCUCUGUCUUUUCAUCUCACGAUCUGGUUGUAGAAACCCUAAGAGGGGCCUGUAAUAACCCUUUCCCCUUCGUCUGUUUUCUUUGUCGGUGAUUUGUUCAACUGACCAGGAUGUAUGCGUUAGUGGUUUUGAAGCUGGUUCGUUCUUUCAAGCUGCUCCGAAGGCAUUAUCUUUGACAAGUGAUAUAAGUUGCAUCAUAAUCUCGCCGAUUAUUGAGAGAGUUGAUAGGGUGAACAGAGGAAAAUGAAAGCGAAGAAGAAGCCAGCAACAAAAAAAGAGAGGCAAACAUGUUACACAGUUGAGCAGCAGCGAAGAUGCAAUCAACUCAUCCCCACUGGUCACUACUCCCAGCUGCCACUACUGGUCUACCUGGCUGCAGUGUGGCUACUGCAGUUGCGACCAGCCGGAUGCUUACUGACCACUACAACAGAAGCUUCAACUUCACAAACACUUAAAACGCCUCAACAAGCCCACUGUCAAAUCCAUUGAGGAGUGGGUCUCAUUGUAGGGAUUAGUUGAAACUGCAUAAAUGAAGACAUAUGGUGUAAUAUCCUUUUGAUAUGAAACGUUCAACAAAGAUAGUGUUUUCAUGUGAUAUAAUUUAUUUAUUAAUAUUUUGAAUAUUUAUAUAGUUAUGAAGCAUAUAUAUAACUGAUAUCAUUGUUCAACAUGUGACCGAUGAGUUGCAAUUCAGAUUCUUUUAAGAAUUAUGUAAACGAAUAUGAUCAAGUAUGUUUUAUUUGUCUUAUAUUUGAUAAGCAUUUUUUACUUUUAAAGAUGUAAAGUGAUGUUUCUGUGGACUUGACAAGAGAGCCUUUAAUCGCGCCAUCCUAGCUAUUCUCUACGAAAAACUGAUCUUCCUUCAGUUGAUCUCCUAAAAGUGUUACAGGUGGCACCAGGGUUCGUAUGUGGGGUAAUCGUCGAGGAUGUUUCGAAUAGAGCCAUGGAAUAUCCAUGAAACUGACUUUACCACUAGAUUACUCCCAGUCCGUGAAUAAACUUCUGACUAUCUUGACUGAAAUGUGAUUCAUAUUUCAGAUUUGGGCAUGUAUACUCGAUUUUGUUGAUUCGUAUUUUAUUUGCUUUUUCUCUGAUCUGCAAUCUAGGUUAGUAGACGUUCUGAGUUCCUAUGUUUUAUAUCUAUACGUUGGUUGUAUGUACAUUUAUUGGGUUUCAUAUUCUUUACUUUGUUUAAAAUUGAAUGGUUUGAAGACGCAUGCCAAAUGUUUGAUGAAAUGCUUCAAUAAAACUGACUUUUAUUACCCAUGUUUUUUUACAAUAUAAGUGGAUGUUUAGUUGUUCAGUACUUGAAACUAUUUAUUUUUUUCAAUUAUGGUCAAUGACCGAAUGUUUAGUUGUUCAGUACUUUGUUCCCUAGGUGACGAUUUAGGGUUUAUUUGUGUAUUUGGUUACUUACUGUGUGUAUAUUUAUGUGUGUGUGUGUGUGUGAGUGUAAAAGGAGCCUAACCAAUACUCACAUCUUGUACAUUUGAGAGAUAGAGAGAUCCAAAUCUGGUUGCGAGAUAAGUAGAAGCUACAAAGGAGCCUAACCAAUACCAUUUGUGCCUGGUUUAGAAAGUAAGAUCUGACACUAAUGUGAAAAGUGAAAUUUGGAAUGAAAAUAGUUAAAUCUGCAUCUGAUCCAGCACGUUUGGUUCUAAAAAACAAAUGAAAGUUAUAUGGGGUUGAUUUGAACCAAUUUCCAAACCCAAAUGCAUCUUCUAAACAAUAAAGAUUACUAAAUAGGUAGACAUAAAAAAACUACAGGUGGCAAACAUGGGCAGAUUUUAUCACCAAUCAAAUCAGGUAACUAUUGGUUUCGGUCUGUCAUCCCGUUUCCUUUUUAAGUAUUUUUUGUUUUACCAACCUGACCUUUUAUUUAAAAGACCAAAUCAAAUCAUUCACAAGAAAAUGGAUCAAAAGUGCCAAUUCCAUUCCUAAUGUUGAUUUGUUUACCAAGUGAACUUCUUUAUUAAUUUCAAAGUAAAAGUUUAUUACCCAGCUUAAAUUUCCUUAGAAAGGCCUUAGUUUUUUUCCUCUCAAAGUCUAUGGAAUUUUCUUUAAGAUUGUCUUUUCUUGAUGAACUGAAUCUGUAUCCGUUACCAAGAAAUUAAAUUCAAGGCCAUGAGUAUGGAUUUUUAGUUAUAUAAAUCUGAUUUGGAGUUUUUAGUUGUUUGGGUCUGCAUACCUGUCAACACUCCCAUGUUUCUUAUUCCAAAGCAAAAGUGACCUGAUCUAAACCAAAGUGUUUGCUGAAACAACUGUUGAAAAAAAGUGUGUUGGUUCAUAUGCACAUGAUACACUAUGAUUGACAUCACAAGUGACUAUCAGAAUUGAUUUUGUUUGACUUAUACUCAUAAUUUUUUUUGUGCUUUUUAUGUGCAAGGCAAAUGGGCGGUUUGCACUUCUCAAAAUUAUGCAAACAUGACUCACUUUUGGAACCUAGCACUUUGAACUCAAUGUCUUUAUAUUUCGGCUUAUUCGGUUUAGUCUUUCAUGGAGGACAACAUUGGCAGGAGGUUGCAACUGUGUGACAAUAUCGCUAAUAUUUUUUUUUCAUUAACGCCUACGGUUAAUGUGUGGAGCUGUGGUAUAUUACAUAUUUUGUUUUACGGGGUGGCCUGUACAAGUUUGCCUUGAAGGAGAGAACAAGAAAAAUUGAUCAAAAUAUUUUCGUCAUAAGGUUUGAGAUGCAAGUAGGGAACGAUUAUUAUUCUACACAGUUUACAAGCAACAGUGUAACUGUAGUUAAAUAUCACUACAAAGAGUGCCUGAACAAUAGCUUUUAGGCCACUUAAGGUCUUUUGGUGUGACUGGGAAUUUGACACUCCAACCAAGGUGAUAUUGACCCUUACUAACGGGCUAACUCAAAGUGGAGAUAUACAAUGGUAAAUGACAACUUUUGGACUCCAUUUAAAGAAUGAGUUUUUAGAAUUCUACAUGCCAAUUUGUUUACAAACCCUUUUAGAUAGACAAAUUAUGUGAGAUGUUUCCAGGUUUAUGGGCAUUCGUAUUUAUAGAUUUGUAAAUUGUAAAUAUAACAUUAAUCAUCUUUCAUUAUUACAUGUAAUAUGUUUAUUUCGUUAAAUUUAGUA